UGGGGAAUAUUGGACAAUGGGCGCAAGCCUGAUCCAGCAAUGCCGCGUGAGUGAUGAAGGCCUUAGGGUUGUAAAGCUCUUUCGCACGCGACGAUGAUGACGGUAGCGUGAGAAGAAGCCCCGGCUAACUUCGUGCCAGCAGCCGCGGUAAUACGAAGGGGGCUAGCGUUGUUCGGAAUUACUGGGCGUAAAGGGCGCGUAGGCGGCCUGUUUAGUCAGAAGUGAAAGCCCCGGGCUCAACCUGGGAAUAGCUUUUGAUACUGGCAGGCUUGAGUUCCGGAGAGGAUGGUGGAAUUCCCAGUGUAGAGGUGAAUUCGUAGAUAUUGGGAAGAACACCGGUGGCGAAGGCGGCCAUCUGGACGGACACUGACGCUGAGGCGCGAAAGCGUGGGGAGCAAACAGGAUUAGAUACCCUGGGUAGUCCAGCGCCGUAAACGAUGAAUGCUAGACGUCGGGGUGCACGCACUUCGGUGUCGCCGCUAACGCAUUAAGC
rnacentral:rRNA from 1 species